UACGUAGGGGGCAAGCGUUGUCCGGAUUUAUUGGGCGUAAAGAGCGUGUAGGCGGCUUUGCAAGUCCGUUGUGAAAACUCGAGGCUCAACCUCGGAACUGCCUUUGAUACUGCAAAUCUCGAGUCCGGAAGAGGUGAGUGGAAUUCCUAGUGUAGAGGUGAAAUUCGUAGAUAUUAGGAAGAACACCAGCGGCGAAAGCGCGUGACUGGGCCUGAACUGACACUCAUGGACGAAAGCUAGGGGAGCGAAAGGG
rnacentral:rRNA from 1 species